GGGUUGAAAGAGGCUCAAAUAAUUUAAUUCACAUAUUGUUGGCUGCGGGAGCCAAUAAUAAAUUAGAAUAAAUAGAAAUGGACCCAAAACAUGGUUCAUGAUUUAUCAGCAAUACCAGUUAUCUGCGGCCCCAAUUGUCUCUGCUUCCUCUGCCACUCUGCACAUGAUCAGCAGACUCAUCUGAGCUGCACACACACACACACACACAAAGGUGUGCAUACACAUUGGGAAAUAUGAUACAAACACUUUAAGUGAAGAACAAGCAUAUGUGAGAGUUAGUAGAGGCAGAGAGAUACAGGCAGCUGCAUGUUUUGGUCUUCUUGAAUGAUAAUGUGAUGAGAGCAAUCAUUUUUCAGAGAUUACAUAUGAAUUCAAAAGCAAAGACAAAGAAGAGAGAGUAGUAGAUAUGAUGAGAUAUGGUUUCAGAUAUGCUAGAAUAGUGUUGCAGCAAGGCAACUUGAUCACAUGAUGUAACAGCAGAUCCUCCUACCCAGAUCAAAGCAGCAUCAAAAUAAGAACUCAACUACUCAUAUCUGCCUUUGCAACUUGCUUUAAUACCAUAGUUCCUUCAUUGUAGAAUAGAUUACUUGAGCAUGGUGAAGAGUAAAAAGGUUAUGAUCGAACUUUGACAAUGUGUAAUUCAUCUUCAAAGUUCUUAGUAAAUUCAAGUAGUACUAUAGUAUCAAGUAUCACAUAAUAAUUGUACCUAGCUAGCCCCUACAUGUUUCUGCAUCUUGUCUUCAACUCCAGACAAUGGCUAUUCUGCACUCUGGCACCGAUAGGACAUUUCAAAAGGGAAAAUAAUUGAAAGACAAAAUGGAAUUCUCAGUCACACAGCUGUAUGAAGAAUCUAAAGCAAUCAUCAAAGAACAUAGCAAACUAGUUGCAAGCAUGGAGAAUUUCAUCUGUGCAUAUACCAUUAUACCCAGUCCAAGUACCUAGGUCCAAGUAAUUAGCCCAACAUUACAGAAAACCCUCUAAAAUGUACCUGAAGUCCUAGUAGUAAAGAGAGAAAUUGUAAUGCCAUAUAGCUUACCAAGGAGAUUCAUGGUUAUACCAUUGCAGUUCUUUUUCUAAAUGUGAUUGUCUACUACUUAAAAAACGAAUGGAAAUUAAUUUUCUUCCAAUGACCAAAUUUCACUGAUCAAAAAUACUAAUAGGCAUCCUG